rnacentral:rRNA from 1 species
UACGAAGGGGGCUAGCGUUGCUCGGAAUCACUGGGCGUAAAGGGUGCGUAGGCGGGUCUUUAAGUCAGGGGUGAAAUCCUGGAGCUCAACUCCAGAACUGCCUUUGAUACUGAAGAUCUUGAGUUCGGGAGAGGUGAGUGGAACUGCGAGUGUAGAGGUGAAAUUCGUAGAUAUUCGCAAGAACACCAGUGGCGAAGGCAGCUCUCUGGGACGGUACUGACGCUGAGACGCGAAAGCGUGGGGAGCGAACAGG